rnacentral:tRNA from 1 species
GGAGCUGUGGCUCAAUGGGUAGAGUGCCAGAUUUGAGUGAAAGAGUUUUUAAUAAGAGUCCUGAGUUCAAAUCCCAGUAGCACCA